UACGUAGGGUGCAAGCGUUAAUCGGAAUUACUGGGCGUAAAGCGUGCGCAGGCGGUUGUGCAAGACAGAUGUGAAAUCCCCGGGCUCAACCUGGGAACUGCAUUUGUGACUGCACGGCUGGAGUGCGGCAGAGGGGGAUGGAAUUCCGCGUGUAGCAGUGAAAUGCGUAGAUAUCAGGAGGAAUACCGAUGGCGAAGGCAGGUCUCUGGGCUGACACUGACGCUCAUGCACGAAAGCGUGGGGAGCAAACAGG
rnacentral:rRNA from 1 species